UGGCGUGUAUGAACCUGAACAUACGCACAUGCACGACGUCAAGAGUGGUGGUGGCGAACAAGAAUGAAAAGUGUUGUGUACCGUAGGGGGUCGGUUUGUUGGAUUGCGUGUGGAAUGUGACGAAAGACUGAUGGAUUGAAAAACACAAACAGCGGAGAAGUCUGAUGAAAAGAGAGCUGAUUUCACAUGGUGUGAUAGUUGAAAAUCUGUUUUAGGAUUGGCGUUGCAGUAACAUAAAUUUGAUUUUACCUUCAUUGUGUUUCAAGGAUAAAACCAGCGUCAGCGGCCAAGAGAACCGAGAGCGAAUCCAGCGACGAUUCCGGAGCAACAAGAGCAGAGCAAGUCGUCGGGUCAACUGCUCGCUUGGAUGUGUGUUGUGGUGAAGUGUUGCGUACAGUGUUGCGAGUGUAACCAGUGAGGGUGGUUGAGCACGACAGCAAGCAAGCAAGUGUGUUUGAGCAGGUCGAAAUAGUGUGAAGAAAAAUCCGCACAAGAAGCGUGAAAAAAGAGGUGUUCUUGGAGGCAGGAAGAGCAGGUCGCAGCGGGCAGCGACGGUGAUUGAAAGUGCACAAAAAUUUAGCCGAAAUUGGCCCGAAAGUGGAGUCCCGGUGCGGGAAGUGAUUGUGAACACGGUUGUAGAGGAAAAAAAAAACGGUGCCGACUGUGGUGGAGCACAAGUGGAUGUUGUACCACACCCCAAAACGAAGUGUGGCUGGCGCGACCGUAACCAAAGUGUGUGUCGUUCGUCGCGACGAAGAGGUGACUACUGGCCAAGAGGUGUCAAUGCUAGGUGACCAAGUGUCAAACCGCGCGAAGUAGAGCGGGUGAAUCAAUCGCCGUUUGAGUUAAAACAGCCAGAAGAAAAAAAACCCGGAAAGUACACGGGUUCGGUCAACGACUGCAUUCAGAGUGGAGUCUCCAGACGUGCAGCAAGCUCGCUGCGAGAGUCAGAGCACUAGCCCCGAACGCGCCUCGAGUGACAUCUAAAUUGGAGCUUACAAGCAACUGCUGAUCUUGGAGAGGCCCCUUUUUGG